AGUGAACGCUGGCGGUAGGCCUAACACAUGCCAGUCGAACGGCAGCACAGUAAGAGCUUGCUCUUACGGGUGGCGAGUGGCGGACGGGUGAGGAAUACAUCGGAAUCUACUUUUUCGUGGGGGAUAACGUAGGGAAACUUACGCUCAUACCGCAUACGACCUACGGGUGAAAGCAGGGGAUCUUCGGACCUUGCGCGAUUGGAUGCGCCGCUGUCGGAUUAGCUAGUUGGCGGGGUAAAGGCCCACCAAGGCGACGAUCCGUAGCUGGUCUGAGAGGAUGAUCAGCCACACUGGAACUGAGACACGGUCCAGACUCCUACGGGAGGCAGCAGUGGGGAAUAUUGGGCAAUGGGCGCAAGCCUGAUCCAGCCAUACCGCGUGGGUGAAGAAGGCCUUCGGGUUGUAAAGCCCUUUUGUUGGGAAAGAAAAGCAGCAGGUUAAUACCCCGCUGUUCUGACGGUACCCAAAGAAUAAGCACCGGCUAACUUCGUG
rnacentral:rRNA from 1 species